rnacentral:rRNA from 1 species
GGUUAAGCGACUAAGCGUACACGGUGGAUGCCCUGGCAGUCAGAGGCGAUGAAGGACGUGCUAAUCUGCGAUAAGCGCCGGUAAGGUGAUAUGAACCGUUAUAACCGGCGAUUUCCGAAUGGGGAAACCCAGUGUGAUUCGUCACACUAUCAUUAACUGAAUCCAUAGGUUAAUGAGGCGAACCGGGGGAACUGAAACAUCUAAGUACCCCGAGGAAAAGAAAUCAACCGAGAUUCCCCCAGUAGCGGCGAGCGAACGGGGAGGAGCCCAGAGCCUGAAUCAGCAUGUGUGUUAGUGGAAGCGUCUGGAAAGGUGCGCGAUACAGGGUGACAGCCCCGUACACAAAAGCGCAUGUGCUGUGAGCUCGAUGAGUAGGGCGGGACACGUGGUAUCCUGUCUGAAUAUGGGGGGACCAUCCUCCAAGGCUAAAUACUCCUGACUGACCGAUAGUGAACCAGUACCGUGAGGGAAAGGCGAAAAGAACCCCGGCGAGGGGAGUGAAAAAGAACCUGAAACCGUGUACGUACAAGCAGUGGGAGCACCCUUCGGGGUGUGACUGCGUACCUUUUGUAUAAUGGGUCAGCGACUUAUAUUCUGUAGCAAGGUUAACCGUAUAGGGGAGCCGGAGGGAAACCGAGUCUUAACCGGGCGUUAAGUUGCAGGGUAUAGACCCGAAACCCGGUGAUCUAGCCAUGGGCAGGUUGAAGGUUGGGUAACACUAACUGGAGGACCGAACCGACUAAUGUUGAAAAAUUAGCGGAUGACCUGUGGCUGGGGGUGAAAGGCCAAUCAAACCGGGAGAUAGCUGGUUCUCCCCGAAAGCUAUUUAGGUAGCGCCUCGUGAAUUCAUCUCCGGGGGUAGAGCACUGUUUCGGCUAGGGGGCCAUCCCGGCUUACCAACCCGAUGCAAACUGCGAAUACCGGAGAAUGUUAUCACGGGAGACACACGGCGGGUGCUAACGUCCGUCGUGAAGAGGGAAACAACCCAGACCGCCAGCUAAGGUCCCAAAGUCAUGGUUAAGUGGGAAACGAUGUGGGAAGGCCCAGACAGCCAGGAUGUUGGCUUAGAAGCAGCCAUCAUUUAAAGAAAGCGUAAUAGCUCACUGGUCGAGUCGGCCUGCGCGGAAGAUGUAACGGGGCUAAACCAUGCACCGAAGCUGCGGCAGCGAACGUAUCACUUAAAGCGAUUCAGCGGGUUACGAUUGACGGAGCGAAGCGACGUCAAAGCGUAUACAAAGUCGAGUCGGUUUAAGGAUACGUUCGUUGGGUAGGGGAGCGUUCUGUAAGCCCGUGAAGGUGGCCUGUGAGGGUUGCUGGAGGUAUCAGAAGUGCGAAUGCUGACAUAAGUAACGAUAAAGCGGGUGAAAAGCCCGCUCGCCGGAAGACCAAGGGUUCCUGUCCAACGUUAAUCGGGGCAGGGUGAGUCGACCCCUAAGGCGAGGCCGAAAGGCGUAGUCGAUGGGAAACGGGUUAAUAUUCCCGUACUUGGUGUUACUGCGAAGGGGGGACGGAGAAGGCUAUGUUGGCCGGGCGACGGUUGUCCCGGUUUAAGCGUGUAGGUGUGUGUUCCAGGUAAAUCCGGUUCACUUUAACACUGAGGCGUGACGACGAGGCACUACGGUGCUGAAGCAACAAAUGCCCUGCUUCCAGGAAAAGCCUCUAAGCAUCAGGUAACACGAAAUCGUACCCCAAACCGACACAGGUGGUCAGGUAGAGAAUACCAAGGCGCUUGAGAGAACUCGGGUGAAGGAACUAGGCAAAAUGGUGCCGUAACUUCGGGAGAAGGCACGCUGACACGUAGGUGAAGUGAUUUACUCAUGGAGCUGAAGUCAGUCGAAGAUACCAGCUGGCUGCAACUGUUUAUUAAAAACACAGCACUGUGCAAACACGAAAGUGGACGUAUACGGUGUGACGCCUGCCCGGUGCCGGAAGGUUAAUUGAUGGGGUCAGCGCAAGCGAAGCUCCUGAUCGAAGCCCCGGUAAACGGCGGCCGUAACUAUAACGGUCCUAAGGUAGCGAAAUUCCUUGUCGGGUAAGUUCCGACCUGCACGAAUGGCGUAAUGAUGGCCAGGCUGUCUCCACCCGAGACUCAGUGAAAUUGAACUCGCUGUGAAGAUGCAGUGUACCCGCGGCAAGACGGAAAGACCCCGUGAACCUUUACUAUAGCUUGACACUGAACAUUGAGCCUUGAUGUGUAGGAUAGGUGGGAGGCUUUGAAGUGUGGACGCCAGUCUGCAUGGAGCCGACCUUGAAAUACCACCCUUUAAUGUUUGAUGUUCUAACGUGGACCCGUAAUCCGGGUUGCGGACAGUGUCUGGUGGGUAGUUUGACUGGGGCGGUCUCCUCCUAAAGAGUAACGGAGGAGCACGAAGGUUGGCUAAUCCUGGUCGGACAUCAGGAGGUUAGUGCAAUGGCAUAAGCCAGCUUGACUGCGAGCGUGACGGCGCGAGCAGGUGCGAAAGCAGGUCAUAGUGAUCCGGUGGUUCUGAAUGGAAGGGCCAUCGCUCAACGGAUAAAAGGUACUCCGGGGAUAACAGGCUGAUACCGCCCAAGAGUUCAUAUCGACGGCGGUGUUUGGCACCUCGAUGUCGGCUCAUCACAUCCUGGGGCUGAAGUAGGUCCCAAGGGUAUGGCUGUUCGCCAUUUAAAGUGGUACGCGAGCUGGGUUUAGAACGUCGUGAGACAGUUCGGUCCCUAUCUGCCGUGGGCGCUGGAGAACUGAGGGGGGCUGCUCCUAGUACGAGAGGACCGGAGUGGACGCAUCACUGGUGUUCGGGUUGUCAUGCCAAUGGCACUGCCCGGUAGCUAAAUGCGGAAGAGAUAAGUGCUGAAAGCAUCUAAGCACGAAACUUGCCCCGAGAUGAGUUCUCCCUGAGACUUAGAGUCUCCUGAAGGAACGUUGAAGACGACGACGUUGAUAGGCCGGGUGUGUAAGCGCAGCGAUGCGUUGAGCUAACCGGUACUAAUGAACCGUGAGGCUUAACCUU